GGGCGCGUAGCUCAGCGGUAGAGCAUUCGCUUCACACGCGAAUGGUCACAGGUUCAAUCCCUGUCGCGCCCACCA
rnacentral:tRNA from 1 species